rnacentral:misc_RNA from 1 species
AAUUAUGGUGUCUUUGUACGUAGUCCUAUAAAUUAGGACACUUCUAAAACCUUCCUUCUGCACUCAGAAAUUUCGAAAAGUAUAGCAAAAACAGAGCAAAAAAAAGACAGAGAUAUGGAAACUGUGGAAGAUGUGGUGAUCGUUGGUGCUGGAAUAGCAGGGCUGGCCACCGCAGUAGCCUUGAAGAGAGUUGGGGUUCGAUCUUUGAUCUUAGAGAAAUCAGAAACGCUCCGAUCCACUGGUGCAGCCUUAACCCUCACACCAAAUGCUUGGCUUGCUCUUGAUGCUCUUGGCGUUUCUCAUAAACUUAAUGCCCUUUAUACUCCUUUCACAAGGGGGUCUGUAACGACUGUGGCUACGGGAGCUGUUCAAGAGGUCUUAUUCACUGUAAAUUCUCAAGGACCUAGAUCAGUUCAUCGCAAAGCUUUAUUAGAGGCUCUAGCAGAAGAAUUGCCAGCUGAUUCAAUUCGAUUUUCUUCCAAGUUUACCUCUAUUGAACAGCACAAACUUGGAGAUGCUUCCAUUGUUGUACUUCAUUUGGAAGAUGGAACUACUAUCAAAUCAAAGGUUUUGAUUGGUUGUGAUGGGGUGCACUCGGUGGUGGCAAAAUGGCUUGGACUUUCUGCACCAGUUCAUUCAGGUCAAGCAGCAGUGCGUGGAUUGGCAGUUUUUCCACAAGGCCAUGGGUUUAAUAAAGAAGUGACGCAGUUUAAGGAUGUUGGAAAAGGGGCUGGUUUCGUCCCUCUAAACGUCAAAGAGUUAUACUGGUUUUUCACUUGUCCUGAAGGUGAAAACAUGGCGCGAGACCCACAACUAAUACAGAAGGAAGUGAUUGAGAAGUAUGCAUACAACUUUCCCUCACAAUUCCUAGACGUGGUCCGUCAUGCUGAUCUCUCAAAUUUGACAUGGGCUCCAUUGUUGUUGAGACAGCCAUGGAAUGUCAUAUUUGGAAAUCUUAGCAAAGGAAACAUCACAGUGGCAGGUGAUGCUAUGCACCCAAUGACAUCUCAUCUAGCACAAGGUGGGUGUUCAGCUUUAGAGGAUGCAGUUGUAUUGGGCAGACACAUUGGGAAUUCUUUUAUAAAAAAUGGGAGACUGCUUGUUUCAGAGGAAAUGGCUCGAGCCUUAGAUGGGUAUGUGAAAGAAAGGAGGUGGCGAGCGGCUACUCUCAUCACUGCUUCCUUUCUAUCAACAUGGAUGCAACAAGGUGGUUCUCAAUGGUGGAAGAAAGUUUUCUAUGCAUUCAUCUUCCCUAAACUCUCUAAUGUUGCUCGUUAUGACUGUGGGACACUGCCAAGCGUCUCUGCCUCUGCUGAGCUGCAGCAUUACUCUAAUAAAUCAGACUAGAUUUUUUUCAAGAAUUGUCCAUGUGUAUCAUUUGCAUUUGAGUUGGGCUAGUCUAAAACCAAUUAGGUUAGAAUUUUUUUUUUCUAUUAAUUUUCAACUAAGCCAUGAGCUUAUGUGGGUAGUAAUAAAUAAGGUUUC